rnacentral:lncRNA from 1 species
GGUUCUACUGAAUUGAAACACACUGAUACAUUAACUCCUACUUAUUCGGAGGGAUCAAUUUCAUCUUGACUCACACACUGACUUCAUAAGUAUUUGACUAUGCCCAAAAAUCUUUCAUUACUAAAUUAAAAAUUUAGGUAGUCUAACACCAAAGCACAGUGAGUUGCUUGCAAGUCACUGUGGUGAUCUCAGGUUAAAAGGAUACUUAUAGCCAUAUCC